rnacentral:rRNA from 1 species
GAUGAACGCUAGCUACAGGCUUAACACAUGCAAGUCGGGGGGAAACGAUAUUGGAAGCCUGCUUCCGAUAGGCGUCGACCGGCGCACGGGUGAGUAACGCGUAACCAACCUGCCCACCACUUGGGGAUAACCUUGCGAAAGUAAGACUAAUACCCAAUGAUGUCCAUAGAAGACAUCUGAAAUGGAUUAAAGAUUUAUCGGUGAUGGAUGGGGAUGCGUCUGAUUAGCUUGUUGGCGGGGUAACGGCCCACCAAGGCGACGAUCAGUAGGGGUUCUGAGAGGAAGGUCCCCCACAUUGGAACUGAGACACGGUCAAACUCCUACGGGAGGCAGCAGUGAGGAAUAUUGGUCAAUGGGCGAGAGCCUGAACCAGCCAAGUAGCGUGCAGGACGACGGCCCUAUGGGUUGUAAACUGCUUUUAUAAGGGAAUAAAGUGAGCCUCGUGAGGCUUUUUGCAUGUACCUUAUGAAUAAGGACCGGCUAAUUCCGUGCCAGCAGCCGCAGUAA